CGGUUAGCUCAGCUGGGAGAGCAUCGCCCUUACAAGGCGAGGGUCACUGGUUCGAGCCCAGUACC
rnacentral:tRNA from 1 species